AUUGAACGCUGGCGGCAUGCCUUACACAUGCAAGUCGAACGGCAGCACGGACUUCGGUCUGGUGGCGAGUGGCGAACGGGUGAGUAAUGUAUCGGAACGUACCAUUGAGUGGGGGAUAACGUAGCGAAAGUUACGCUAAUACCGCAUAUUCUCUCCGGAGGAAAGCAGGGGACCACAAGGCCUUGCGCUCUUUGAGCGGCCGAUAUCAGAUUAGCUAGUUGGUGGGGUAAAAGCUCACCAAGGCGACGAUCUGUAGCGGGUCUGAGAGGAUGAUCCGCCACACUGGAACUGAGACACGGUCCAGACUCCUACGGGAGGCAGCAGUGGGGAAUUUUGGACAAUGGGGGCAACCCUGAUCCAGCCAUGCCGCGUGAGUGAAGAAGGCCUUCGGGUUGUAAAGCUCUUUCGGCCGGGAAAAAAUCGCAUGGGCUAAUAUCCUGUGUGGAUGAUGGUACCGGAAUAAGAAGCACCGGCUAACUACGUGCCAGCAGCCGCAGUAA
rnacentral:rRNA from 1 species